rnacentral:rRNA from 1 species
UACAGAGGCCUCGAGCGUUGUUCGGAAUUACUGGGCGUAAAGGGAAUGUAGGUGGUGAUGUAAGUCAGAUGUGAAAGCCCUGGGCUUAACCUGGGAAGUGCAUUUGAUACUGCGUUGCUUGAGUGCGAGAGAGGAAAGCGGAAUUCCAGGUGUAGGAGUGAAAUCCGUAGAUAUCUGGAGGAAUACCGAUGGUGAAGACAGCUUUCUGGCUCGCAACUGACACUGAGAUUCGAAAGCUUGGGUAGCAAACAGG